AUUGAACGCUAGCGGGAUGCUUUACACAUGCAAGUCGAACGGCAGCGCGGACUUCGGUCUGGCGGCGAGUGGCGAACGGGUGAGUAAUGUAUCGGAACGUGCCCAGUAGCGGGGGAUAACUACGCGAAAGCGUAGCUAAUACCGCAUACGCCCUACGGGGGAAAGCUGGGGAUCGUAAGACCUUGCACUAUUGGAGCGGCCGAUAUCGGAUUAGCUAGUUGGUGAGGUAACGGCUCACCAAGGCGACGAUCCGUAGCUGGUUUGAGAGGACGACCAGCCACACUGGGACUGAGACACGGCCCAGACUCCUACGGGAGGCAGCAGUGGGGAAUUUUGGACAAUGGGGGCAACCCUGAUCCAGCCAUCCCGCGUGUGCGAUGAAGGCCUUCGGGUUGUAAAGCACUUUUGGCAGGAAAGAAACGUCGCGGGCUAAUACCCCGUGGAACUGACGGUACCUGCAGAAUAAGCACCGGCUAACUACGUG
rnacentral:rRNA from 1 species